CAGCUCCUGCGGCCACCACACCACCUCCAUCAGCACCUGAUUUUUGUGGUGGCUCAAUCUCAGAUUCCUCUGGGGUGCUGCAGAGUCCCCACUACCCUGGAAGUUAUCCCAACAACGCUGACUGCGAGUGGCAAAUCCAAGUCGAGAGCAAUUUCCGUGUUACACUCACAUUCAGAGAUAUUGCGAUGCAAAGCAGCUCAUGCCAGCACGACUACAUUGAA